ensembl:lncRNA
GAGAAAAAAUCUGAGAGAGCUGUAUCGAUCCGUCUUGCGGGCUGAACAUCAAAAGAAAACGUCCACCUCAAAGAACUCAGAUGGAGACCCUGACUGAGAGAGCUUGAGUGUGUGUGUGUGUGUGUGUGUGUGUGUGUGUGUGUGUGUGUGUGUGUGUGUGUGUACUUGCAGCAUAUCUAUUUAAGAUUUUACAGCAACAAAACUAUAAAAAUAGUUGUUCAAAUCCCCAUCUUUUAAAAUUUUAUUUCAUUUUUAAAUAUUUUGUUUUAUUUAUUUAAGUGACAUUCAAUACAAGUUCUAAAAGUCUUUAUCUUUAUCUGAGACAUAUGUGAAUCAAGUCCAAGUGGAAAUACAGGACCAUUCUCCUUUCUGCGAUGUGAAAUUGUGGUGAAACUGAACAGUGUUCCAACAUUGUUGUAGCUUUGAUUUUGGCUACUGUGAUGAGUGUGAACAUGGAAGUAACUAAAAGAAAGAAAGUUGGAUAGAUAUUUUUACCUAGUUAACAUUUCUGUGGUGGGAAGGUUUAUGUUCGACUUCUUUUAGGAUUUUAUUUUGAAGUAGAAUCUAGAAAUAUGAACAAAUUAUGCAAAUGUAUAAGAUGUUUUGUUACAAAAUGUAAAAUGAAGCUUCAAUUCAAUUUCAAUGCUAAGAUUUCUAACAACACAUAUUUAUAGACAUGAAAUGGUCAAUAACUCGACAUGAAAUGGUCAAACUAUAACAUCAGCUCUGACAGUAGUGUAGUUGCAAAUUAGAGGCUUAUUUAUUAUUCAUGCUCUUGUCCUAUAAGUUUUCAUUUCUAUACUAACAGCUCAUUCACACGGACUUGCAUGGUUAGAUGCUCUACAUACUGUAAAUGGAUUUUAAAAUAUACUGUAAAGUUUUCUGUAAGGAGACAGUAAUUUAAAAUUUUCAGAAGGAGUCUCCGGUGUCAGCACUUUGUAAUAGUCAGAGGUAAAGCUGUGACUUUACAUUUUCCCACGUCUUUGGGGCAGAGUAGUUUACAUGUAGGAAGUAACAUGACAAGCUGUGGUCUAUUUUGUUUAUGCCUGCUAUAACGUAAGUGAGAACAGGAACUAAUUUAAAGUAUUAUGUCAUUAUUUAAUUACUAAACAUUGUAAUCACUGGAGAAGUACUGUGAUAUAAGAGGAAUAAAAUACUUUGGAAUGUGCUGUUAUAAUAAAAUAAUCAACUUCGAGGAGGUAACAGAAUUGAGAAGAUUGUAAAGACAGAUUUUUCAGUUUUAAGAUAAGAUCCAAAUACAGAUUUUUAACUUUCUUGGCUUUUAAUGUGCUUUACAAAUAAAUAUUGUUGAUACACUACAUUUUAUUCUAGGGGAAAUUGAGUAAUAUAGAAAAUAUGCUUCAUAUUGGCUAAAAAUAAUGUCAGCAUGAGAUCAUCAGAUCCAGAUGAGAGAUGUAGAGAUGAGGCAUGCGCUUGACGGAGAUGAUCCGUAACAUAUCCGCAUGUCUCCAGAGACUAAAAGGUAAC